CGCAUUCCAUAAAUAAGAAUAGGAAAAUCACAUCUUUACGAUAAACGUGCCAAUAUUACACCCCGGAAAAUGUAGGUGUUGACUUUUACGUAAGGUUAUGAAAGGUAGCAUUAGCCCUCUGCUGGAGACACGCAUUUAAACGUUUCGUAACAAACCAUGGCUGCUCCGUUGGUGAGGAUUUUCUCAAAGUCUUUCAGACAAAUCUCUCGACCAUGGGGGACUUGCCAGGCUGCAUGGAGGUGCAGUUCCAGCAGAGCUGCCCCAGAUGUGGCUUCAGACCACGCAGCUGCCUCCUCCUUCCCUCCCCUUCAGACUUACUCAGAGGAAGAAAGCAUGAUGAGGGAAGCAGUGAAAAAAUAUGCGCAAGAGCGCAUCGCUCCAUUUGUGUCAAAGAUGGAUGAAAAUUCUGAGAUGGAUGAGGAAGUGAUCAAAUCCCUCUUUGAACAGGGUCUCAUGGGCAUUGAAAUUGAUCCAGAAUAUGGUGGCACUGGCUCCACAUUCUUCUCCUCCAUCCUGGUCAUUGAAGAGCUGGCGAAGGUGGAUCCGUCUGUGGCUGUGCUCUGUGACAUCCAGAACACACUCAUCAACACACUGUUUGUCCAGCUUGGUACCCCAGCUCAGAAAGAACAGUACCUCAGCCGGCUGUCAACUGACAUGGUUGGAAGCUUCUGCCUCUCUGAAGCAGAGUCGGGGAGUGACGCUUUUGCUCUGAAAACACGAGCUGAAAAACACAAGGACUAUUACAUAAUCAAUGGAUCCAAGAUGUGGAUCAGUAACGCAGAGCAUGCAGGUGUUUUCCUGGUGAUGGCCAAUGUGGAUCCGUCUGCUGGAUACAGAGGAAUUACCUGCUUCAUUGUGGACCGGGACACUGAAGGGCUCGAGAUUUGCAAGAAGGAGAACAAGCUUGGCCUGCGUGCGUCCUCUACCUGCCCGCUCAACUUUGACAAUGUCAAGGUACCGGAGAAGAAUAUUUUAGGAAAGGUCGGCCACGGGUACAAGUAUGCUAUUGGAAUGUUGAAUGAGGGCAGGAUUGGAAUUGCAGCGCAGAUGGUUGGACUUGCACAGGGUUGCUUUGAUCACACUGUUCCUUACACCAGACAGAGGGUGCAGUUCGGAAAACGUAUCUUUGACUUCCAGGGCAUGCAGCACCAAAUAGCUCACGUAGCAACACAGAUUGAAGCCGCCCGACUGCUGACGUACAACGCUGCUCGUCUCAAGGAAGCUGGGAGACCUUUCAUUAAGGAGGCCUGCAUGGCUAAAUACUUCACUUCAGAGGUUGCAACUCUAACUACAUCUAAAUGCAUCGAAUGGAUGGGAGGAGUUGGCUUCACCAAAGACUAUCCUAUAGAGAAAUACUACAGAGACUGUAAAAUUGGCACCAUUUAUGAGGGCACAACAAAUGUCCAGCUUUCCACUAUGGCCAAGUUCAUUGAUAAGGAGUAUGACUACUGAAACCAUCUAAUCACAGAAUGAUACGCUGCACUUUGCUUUGUUUCACUCCAUAUUUUUUCCCUCGAAAGACUUCAGUGGAAUUAAUCCAGCAGCAUCAUGUUGCUGCAUGUUACUAGAGUUUUGUAGGAACUUGUGUUCUUGUUAAGUAGUUCCUGUUACUGAUGUUGUAGUUGCAUUUCCCUGGCUUUUGGGUUAAAGUUGCUCUGGUGUAAUUAUAUAGAUUUAUUUUUCUUUUAAAUUCCAUUUUCUUUCCAUCACUUGUGUGAAAAGCAAGAAAUAAGGUGGUUUUUGUCAUUUGUAGAUCUUUACCACCUCUUUCCCUUUUUUGUCGUCUUCUUAUUGAGACGUGGUGAUGAACUAUGUAACAUGUCCAAUCCAUAUGUUGCAAUAUGAGGGAGGAUAUUUGAAAGAUAUUGAUUGGGGAUUUUUAGUGCCUUCUAUUACUGAUAUCAGUAAUUUUAAAAUGCAUUGUCUUUGCAGGAUGCUCUAAAUAACAGGUGGAAUGUAAGAGUUCACACCACAAAUAUUGUACAGUCAACACCAGGAUCUCUCACUAGAUGGCAGCAUUUUCCUGAGUGACAGCAGCACUCUUGAGUUUGCUGCAGCUUCACACUGAAAGGCCAGUCAAUUACCAUGUCUUUUAACAGCCUGUCACCUCUAAUGAUAUUUUAUAUCAAUUUAAUUAUGCUGGUGCUUCAAAUGAAAAGAGCCUGCCUUGCAUAAUUGACUCGCUGAUCAUUUUGUAGGUUAGACUGAUUAAAUUUCAAUGAGUUACGUGUGCUGUGUAAAAUAAAGUCUAUUGUUUAAAACAA